rnacentral:rRNA from 1 species
GAGUUUGAUCGUGGCUCAGAACGAACGCUGGCGGCAGGCUUAACACAUGCAAGUCGAACGCGUGUAGCAAUACACGAGUGGCGCACGGGUGAGUAACGCGUGGAUAUCUGCCUUUUGGUUCGGAAUAACCCCGGGAAACUGGGGCUAAUACCGGAUGGUUCCUUCGGGAUAAAGAUUUAUCGCCAAAAGAUGAGUCCGCGUACGAUUAGCUAGUUGGUGAGGUAAUGGCUCACCAAGGCGACGAUCGUUAGCUGGUCUGAGAGGACGAUCAGCCACACUGGGACUGAGACACGGCCCAGACUCCUACGGGAGGCAGCAGUGGGGAAUAUUGGACAAUGGGGGGCAACCCUGAUCCAGCCAUGCCGCGUGAGUGAUGAAGGCCUUCGGGUUGUU